rnacentral:lncRNA from 1 species
ACAAAGUGCACAUAUCUAUUAUGUUCAUUUGCAACAUAUAUUCUGCUUACAAUGGCGUAGACCGAGAGUGAAACCACCAUUGUCUUGUAUCUUCCCCAAUAUGUGUCUGCCAAGAAAGCUCCGACAAGCGACAUCAAGAAGUUGGUGCCAAUCCAAGUAGACACAUCCCUUGCCGCGUCGAUGUUACUUUCGUGGAGCACGCUGGUAAGGUAGGUAACCAAGUUCUUGGAGAUUCCAAAGAAGGCCACGGAUUCGAUGAAUUCGAUACCUAGCACAGAUCGAGCAAGGAGAGUUAGCAUUGAGCGAUUUCUAGUCUGUGACAACUUUUUUCUUUUCUUUUAUGGUACCUAAAAUGAAGAAGCAGGCUCUCCAGUUCCCUGUUGUUGCCNCGCUGGUAAGGUAGGUAACCAAGUUCUUGGAGAUUCCAAAGAAGGCCACGGAUUCGAUGAAUUCGAUACCUAGCACAGAUCGAGCAAGGAGAGUUAGCAUUGAGCGAUUUCUAGUCUGUGACAACUUUUUUCUUUUCUUUUAUGGUACCUAAAAUGAA